AGUAGCUCAGUCGGUUAGAGCACCGGACUGUUAAUCCGGGUGUCACUGGUUCGAGUCCAGUCU
rnacentral:tRNA from 1 species